AACAAGGGAAGGAGCAGGCGCGCAAUUACCCAAUUCUAACAGUUUGAGAGAGGUAGUAACAAGAAAUAACAAUACAAGGCAGUUAAAAUGCUUUGUAAUUGGAAUGAUAGAAAUUUAAACCCUUUUUAAAGUAUCAAUUGGAGGGCAAGUCUGGUGCCAGCAGCCGCGGUAAUUCCAGCUCCAAUAGCGUAUAUUAAAAUUGUUGCAGUUAAAAAGCUCGUAGUUGAAGUUCUGCUGAAAGUAACCGGUCUGCUUUUAAUAAAAGUGGUAUCUUGGUAUGUAUUUAGCAAUGAUGUCCUUUGAAGUGUUUUUUACUUUAUUGUAAUAAAGCAUAUUCAGGACUUUUACUUUGAGAAAAUUAGAGUGUUUCUAGCAGGCUGACGCUUUGAAUACUGCAGCAUGGAAUAAUAAGAUAGGAUUUUAGUUCUACAUUAUUGGUUUUAAGAGCUAAAUUAAUGAUUGAUAGGGACAGUUGGGGGCAUCCGUUAUUUAAA
rnacentral:rRNA from 1 species